AGCCAGAUGACGAAUCCCAAAUAGGACGAAAUGCGCAUCCUGGAU
rnacentral:hammerhead_ribozyme from 1 species